rnacentral:rRNA from 1 species
GAUGAACGCUGGCGGCGUGCCUAAUACAUGCAAGUCGAGCGAACAGACGAGGAGCUUGCUCCUCUGACGUUAGCGGCGGACGGGUGAGUAACACGUGGAUAACCUACCUAUAAGACUGGGAUAACUUCGGGAAGCCGGAGCUAAUACCGGAUAAUAUAUUGAACCGCAUGGUUCAAUAGUGAAAGACGGUUUUGCUGUCACUUAUAGAUGGAUCCGCGCCGCAUUAGCUAGUUGGUAAGGUAACGGCUUACCAAGGCAACGAUGCGUAGCCGACCUGAGAGGGUGAUCGGCCACACUGGAACUGAGACACGGUCCAGACUCUUACGGGAGGCAGCAGUAGGGAAUCUUCCGCAAUGGGCGAAAGCCUGACGGAGCAACGCCGCGUGAGUGAUGAAGGUCUUCGGAUCGUAAAACUCUGUUAUUAGGGAAGAACAAAUGUGUAAGUAACUAUGCACGUCUUGACGGUACCUAAUCAGAAAGCCACGGCUAACUACGU